GGGUGGUCAGGAUGGCCGAGCGGUCGAAGGCGCCACACUCAAGAUGUGGUCACUGCAUGGAGGCGUGGGUUCGAACCCCACUCCUCCCA
rnacentral:tRNA from 1 species